rnacentral:misc_RNA from 1 species
UAAUCUCAAUAUUUUUAAAAUUUAUUGGACUUGGGUGUUGCCGUUGUAGGCUCAUCUGAAAUACAUUAGAAAGCUUGGUUUUUGGUCGAGUGUGAUAAAUGUUAAUCUCAUUCAUCAAGGAUGUUAGCUUUCUUAUAAGCAUUAAGAUGUU